UUUGCCUUGAAUUUUUAGAGCACUAGGAAGACAUGCUGUCAAUGCAUUGUGAGGUUUCAUGAUGACCAACAGUUGGAUUCCCCUGACUGCACUUUUAGGUUAGGUGUUAGCUUAGAUGCCUCAAGUAGACAGAACAGUAUCAUGAAACCCCAUUCACCCCUCAGCUUCAACUAGUAUUAAUGCUUCGGCACUCUUGUUUCAUCUAUUUCCUCCAUACCCUAUUAUUUGGGAGUUAAUCUCAGACAUGGCAUUCCACACCUAAAUAUUUCAGUAUGUGUCUUUAAAUGAUUACAGAUGCAGUUUGCAGAAACUUCAGAACUAUACCUGGUUUUUCAGGACAACGGCAACUUAAUAACUGUCCUUGGUCUCUCCCAGUGAACGCAGCUCUGGACCUGGACACAAGACAAGGAGCAGCAGUUUCAGAGAGGAAAGUGGAGCAGGAAGCGCAGGGAAGGAAGGAAGAACUCAGAGUCAGGGCACUGGCCGUAAAUGAACCUUUCCUUCCACUCUCUGGCUCUCUCCUGGCCCAGACUCUGAGACAGACAGACACCUGGACCCGCAUCCCAGAUGCAGACAGAGCUCCCAUGAGCCGGACAGACACCUGGACUGCAUCCCACAUGCACACAGCCAGAGCUCCCAGGGGAACUCUCUGUUUCUGUUCUCAGGAAAGGGCAGGAGGGCCCAUUUACACCUGAAAAUGGGGGAAUCCAGUGUGUGGUUUCUUGUCUCCCACACUGGCCGCUUGGUAUUCCUCGGUAUUUGGCACAGCAGUGGCUGUGGCAGUCAGGCAGGUGCCUAAAGCUCCUCUCUCUCUCUCUGGGCCUUCUUAUUUGACCUGGUAAAGUGAAUUUUUGCUAACAAGACUCUGACAUCAGAGAAAUUUGAAACUGCGGGCUUGAAGAGCAACAGUGAUGGAAAAUGUUUGGUUGUCAUCCUUAAGAACACCCGAUAUGGCAGCAGUCCAGGAGAUGGCGCUGUCCCCGGAGAACCAGAUUUCAGUAAUUCUGCACAGUGAGUCCACACUGC